GGGUGAGUAAAGUAUCGGAACGUACCUUUCAGUGGGGGAUAACGUAGCGAAAGUUACGCUAAUACCGCAUAUUCUGUGAGCAGGAAAGCAGGGGAUCGCAAGACCUUGCGCUGAUUGAGCGGCCGAUAUCAGAUUAGCUAGUUGGUGAGGUAAAGGCUCACCCAGGCGACGAUCUGUAGCGGGUCUGAGAGGAUGAUCCGCCACACUGGAACUGAGACACGGUCCAGACUCCUACGGGAGGCAGCAGUGGGGAAUUUUGGACAAUGGGGGCAACCCUGAUCCAGCCAUGCCGCGUGAGUGAAGAAGGCCUUCGGGUUGUAAAGCUCUUUCGGCCGGGAAGAAAUCGUAUGGGUUAAUACCCUGUGCGGAUGACGGUACCGGCAUAAGAAGCACCGGCUAACUACGUGCCAGCAGCCGCGGUAAUACGUAGGGUGCGAGCGUUAAUCGGAAUUACUGGGCGUAAAGCGUGCGCAGGCGGUUUUGUAAGACAGGCGUGAAAUCCCCGGGCUCAACCUGGGAACUGCGCUUGUGACUGCAAGGCUAGAGUAUGGCAGAGGGGGGUGGAAUUCCACGUGUAGCAGUGAAAUGCGUAGAGAUGUGGAGGAACACCAAUGGCGAAGGCAGCCCCCUGGGCCAAUACUGACGCUCAUGCACGAAAGCGUGGGUAGCAAACAGGAUUAGAUACCCUGGUAGUCCACGCCCUAAACGAUGUCAACUAGGUGUUGGGUGGGUAAAACCAUUUAGUACCGGAGCUAACGCGUGAAGUUGACCGCCUGGGGAGUACGGCCGCAAGGUUAAAACUCAAAGGAAUUGACGGGGACCCGCACAAGCGGUGGAUGAUGUGGAUUAAUUCGAUGCAACGCGAAAAACCUUACCUACCCUUGACAUGUCCAGGAGCCUGAAGAGAUUUGGGUGUGCCCGAAAGGGAACUGGAACACAGGUGCUGCAUGGCUGUCGUCAGCUCGUGUCGUGAGAUGUUGGGUUAAGUCCCGCAACGAGCGCAACCCUUGUCGUUAAUUGCCAUCAUUUAGUUGGGCACUUUAACGAGACUGCCGGUGACAAACCGGAGGAAGGUGGGGAUGACGUCAAGUCCUCAUGGCCCUUAUGGGUAGGGCUUCACACGUCAUACAAUGGUCGGUACAAAGGGUUGCCAACCCGCGAGGGGGAGCCAAUCCCAGAAAGCCGAUCGUAGUCCGGAUCGCAGGCUGCAACUCGCCUGCGUGAAGUCGGAAUCGCUAGUAAUCGUGGAUCAGCAUGUCACGGUGAAUACGUUCCCGGGUCUUGUACACACCGCCCGUCACACCAUGGGAGCGGGUUCCGCCAGAAGUAGGUAGCCUAACCGCAAGGGGGGCGCUUACCACGGCGGGGUUCGUGACUGGGGUGAAGUCGAAACAAGGUA
rnacentral:rRNA from 1 species